GAAAAACAGAUAAUAGAUCUAGAAGCAUCUCUUAUAUCAAGUUUGAAAGUAAUUAAAAAUCCCGUGGAAAUAACUGGAAUGAAAAAUGCUGCAAUCAAAGAUUCAGUUGCAAUUAUUGGUUUUCUUGCUAUGCUGGAAAGUGAAGUCACAAAAGAGAACAACAACUGAAUCAAGGUGAAAGCUUUGAAACUAUUUCUGCCUUCGGACCUAAUGCAGCUGUAAUACAUUAUUCUCCUGAGACUUUUACGAAUCGAGAUAUUAAUAAGAAUUCAUUGUACCUUUUAGAUUCUGGAGGCCAAUACUUAGAUGGCACUACGGAUAUAACUAGAACUUUACAUUUUGGAGAACCAUCUGAUUUUGAAAUGGAAACUUACACUAGAGUUUUGAUGGGUGUUAUUGAUUUAAUAACUGUAGUCUUUCCUGAUGGUACUA